GCCCCGGUAGCUCAGCGGUAGAGCAACCGGCUGUUAACCGGGAGGUCGUGGGUUCGAAUCCCACCCGGGGCG
rnacentral:tRNA from 1 species